rnacentral:rRNA from 1 species
GUGCAAGCCGUCCGUCCGCUAUUAAAAUUUUAACGUUUUAGUAGGCACGGUGAAACCGCGAAAGGCUCAUUAAAUCAGUUAUGGUUCCUUAGAUUGUGCCCACGUUACUUGGAUAACUGUGGUAAUUCUAGAGCUAAUACAUGCCGACAGAGUUCUGACCAGCGCCGGAGGCGGGCGCGCACAUAUACGGGCUGCUGCACACGCGCACGUGCGUUGCAUGCACGGCAGUGGUGGUGGUGGUGGUGUCGGUGGUGGCGAUGNNNNNNGCACAACCAUCACUCCUGCGUACGGCGGCGGUGUCGUUGUCGUUGACGGCGGCCCUGUGUUGUGCGCCGCGUCGUGUCUCCGGAGUUUGGAAGGAACGCUCUUAUUAGAUCAAAACCGGCCAAGCGGCGUGGGGGAUCGAUGCUGCGUGCAUGCUGCUGCGUGCAUGCGUGUGUAUGCGCGUCCGCGUGUACACAUGUAUCCGCACACGCGCACGCAGGUCUUCGUACCCCCCCUGUAAGUGGCCCGCGCAAAGACUUGACGACUCUGAAUAAUUUCUAGCUGAUCGCACGGUCAAAACAGCACCGGCGACGUAUCUUUCAAAUGUCUGCCUUAUCAACUGUCGACGGUAGGUUCGACGCCUACCGUGGUGGUAACGGGUAACGGGGAAUCAGGGUUCGAUUCCGGAGAGGGAGCCUGAGAAACGGCUACCACAUCCAAGGAAGGCAGCAGGCGCGCAAAUUACCCACUCCCAGCUCGGGGAGGUAGUGACGAAAAAUAACGAUACGGGACUCAUCCGAGGCCCCGUAAUCGGAAUG